rnacentral:rRNA from 1 species
CAAAGGAAUUGACGGGACCCGCACAAGCGGUGGAUGAUGUGGUUUAAUUCGAUGCAACGCGAAAACCUUACCCACCUUUGACAUGUACGGAACCCUUUAGAGAUAGAGGGGUGCUCGAAAGAGAGCCGUAACACAGGUGCUGCAUGGCUGUCGUCAGCUCGUGUCGUGAGAUGUUGGGUUAAAGUCCCCGCAACGAGCGCAACCCUUGUCAUUAGUUGCUACAUUCAGUUGGGCACUCUAAUGAGACUGCCGGUGACAAGCCGGAGGAAGUGGGGAUGACGUCAAGUCCUCAUGGCCCUUAUAGUGGGGCUACACACGUCAUACAAUGGCUGGUACAAAGGGUUGCCAACCCGCGAGGGGGAGCCAAUCCCAUAAAGCCAGUCGUAGUCCGGAUCGUAGUCUGCAACUCGACUACGUGAAGUCGGAAUCGCUAGUAAUCGUGGAUCAGAAUGUCACGGUGAAUACGUUCCCGGGUCUU